rnacentral:rRNA from 1 species
UUAAACUGAAGAGUUUGAUCAUGGCUCAGAUUGAACGCUGGCGGCAGGCUUAACACAUGCAAGUCGAGCGGUAACAGGAAUUAGCUUGCUAAUUUG